rnacentral:rRNA from 1 species
CGUGUAGGUGUGUGUUCCAGGUAAAUCCGGUUCACUUUAACACUGAGGCGUGACGACGAGGCACUACGGUGCUGAAGCAACAAAUGCCCUGCUUCCAGGAAAAGCCUCUAAGCAUCAGGUAACAUCAAAUCGUACCCCAAACCGACACAGGUGGUCAGGUAGAGAAUACCAAGGCGCUUGAGAGAACUCGGGUGAAGGAACUAGGCAAAAUGGUGCCGUAACUUCGGGAGAAGGCACGCUGACACGUAGGUGAAGUGAUUUACUCAUGGAGCUGAAGUCAGUCGAAGAUACCAGCUGGCUGCAACUGUUUAUUAAAAACACAGCACUGUGCAAACACGAAAGUGGACGUAUACGGUGUGACGCCUGCCCGGUGCCGGAAGGUUAAUUGAUGGGGUCAGCGCAAGCGAAGCUCCUGAUCGAAGCCCCGGUAAACGGCGGCCGUAACUAUAACGGUCCUAAGGUAGCGAAAUUCCUUGUCGGGUAAGUUCCGACCUGCACGAAUGGCGUAAUGAUGGCCAGGCUGUCUCCACCCGAGACUCAGUGAAAUUGAACUCGCUGUGAAGAUGCAGUGUACCCGCGGCAAGACGGAAAGACCCCGUGAACCUUUACUAUAGCUUGACACUGAACAUUGAGCCUUGAUGUGUAGGAUAGGUGGGAGGCUUUGAAGUGUGGACGCCAGUCUGCAUGGAGCCGACCUUGAAAUACCACCCUUUAAUGUUUGAUGUUCUAACGUGGACCCGUAAUCCGGGUUGCGGACAGUGUCUGGUGGGUAGUUUGACUGGGGCGGUCUCCUCCUAAAGAGUAACGGAGGAGCACGAAGGUUGGCUAAUCCUGGUCGGACAUCAGGAGGUUAGUGCAAUGGCAUAAGCCAGCUUGACUGCGAGCGUGACGGCGCGAGCAGGUGCGAAAGCAGGUCAUAGUGAUCCGGUGGUUCUGAAUGGAAGGGCCAUCGCUCAACGGAUAAAAGGUACUCCGGGGAUAACAGGCUGAUACCGCCCAAGAGUUCAUAUCGACGGCGGUGUUUGGCACCUCGAUGUCGGCUCAUCACAUCCUGGGGCUGAAGUAGGUCCCAAGGGUAUGGCUGUUCGCCAUUUAAAGUGGUACGCGAGCUGGGUUUAGAACGUCGUGAGACAGUUCGGUCCCUAUCUGCCGUGGGCGCUGGAGAACUGAGGGGGGCUGCUCCUAGUACGAGAGGACCGGAGUGGACGCAUCACUGGUGUUCGGGUUGUCAUGCCAAUGGCACUGCCCGGUAGCUAAAUGCGGAAGAGAUAAGUGCUGAAAGCAUCUAAGCACGAAACUUGCCCCGA